rnacentral:rRNA from 1 species
UACGGGGGGGGCAAGCGUUGUUCGGAAUUACUGGGCGUAAAGGGCGCGUAGGCGGUCGUGCAAGUCGGAUGUGAAAUCUCAGGGCUCAACCCUGAAACUGCAUUCGAUACUGCGCGGCUAGAGUGCUGGAGGGGAGACUGGAAUUUACGGUGUAGCAGUGAAAUGCGUAGAUAUCGUAAGGAAGACCAGUGGCGAAGGCGAGUCUCUGGACAGCAACUGACGCUGAGGCACGAAGGCCAGGGGAGCAAACGGG